AACUCUCGGCAACGGAUAUCUCCUCUCUCGCAAUGAUGAAGAACGUAGCAAAAUGCGAUACCUGGUGUGAAUUGCAGAAUGCCGUGAACCAUUGAGUCUUUGAACGCAAGUUGCGCCCGAGGCCACUCGGCCGAGGGCACGCCUGCCUGGGCAUCA
rfam:Triticum aestivum genome assembly, contig: Triticum_aestivum_CS42_TGACv1_scaffold_515851_6BS